GGAGGGGUGGCAGAGCGGCUGAUUGCACCGGUCUUGAAAACCGGCGUGCCCGCAAGGGCACCGUGGGUUCAAAUCCCACCCCCUCCGCCA
rnacentral:tRNA from 1 species